rnacentral:rRNA from 1 species
UACGAAGGGUGCAAGCGUUACUCGGAAUUACUGGGCGUAAAGGGCUCGUAGGCGGCCAACUAAGUCAAACGUGAAAUCCCUCGGCUUAACCGGGGAACUGCGCUUGAUACUGGAUGGCUUGAGAUUGGGGAGAGGGAUGCGGAAUUCCAGGUGUAGCGGUGAAAUGCGUAGAUAUCUGGAGGAACACCGGUGGCGAAGGCGGCAUCCUGGACCAACACUGACGCUGAGGAGCGAAAGCCAGGGGAGCAAACGGG